AUGCAGUGACUGGUACUGCUAAGCAACAUACUACAAAUGACUUUGCGUCUCUUUUUUUUCUUUUUUUUUUUCCUUUGAAAGGUCAUAUAUGGUGGACUUAUGGUCGCAAGUGGAGGAGAAGAAUUCACAAUCUGGCUACUUCUUAAAAUUUCAAGGAGUUGAUGAUAACACUCGUGAGACUUUGAGUUUGGAGUUAUCUAAGAGUGUGGAGCUUGGAGGAGGGUGAUGUCUUUGUUUCUUAUUAUUACAUAUACUUUGUGUUUUAUGAUUAAGAAUGAUGAUCAUAACUUGUUUUGUAAUAUGAAUAAGAACGAUGCUCUUAAGUUGUAAGUAUGUAAUGACCAACUAUAUGUAUAUUCAAUGAUAUAUAUACAAUUUAUUAGUUCUUUGAUUGAAAA